rnacentral:rRNA from 1 species
CCUACGGGAGGCUGCAGUGGGGAAUAUUGCACAAUGGGGGAAACCCUGAUGCAGCGACGCCGCGUGAGUGAAGAAGUAAUUCGUUACGUAAAGCUCUAUCAGCAGGGAAGAAACACUGACCUUACGGUCAGCAGACGGUACCUGAGUAAGAAGCCCCGGCUAACUACGUGCCAGCAGCCGCGGGAAUACGUAGGGGGAAAGCGUUAUCCGGAUGUACGGGGUGUAAAGGGAGCGUAGACGGGGCGCCAAGUCUGGAGUGAAAUGCCGCAGCUUAACUGCGGAACUGCUUUGGAAACUGGCGAACUAGAGUGCGGGAGGGGUAAGCGGAAUUCCUAGUGUAGCGGUGAAAUGCGUUGAUCUUAUGAGGAACACCGUGGGCGAAGGCGGCUUACUGGACCGUAACUGACGUUGAGGCUCGAAAGCGUGGGGAGCAAACAGGAUUAGAUACCCCUGUAGUC